rnacentral:rRNA from 1 species
CACGUAGGGCGCAAGCGUUGUCCGGAAUUAUUGGGCGUAAAGAGCUCGUAGGCGGUCUGUUGCGUCCGCUGUGAAAACUCGGGGCUUAACCCCGAGCCUGCAGUGGAUACGGGCAGACUAGAGGUAGGUAGGGGAGAAUGGAAUUCCCGGUGUAGCGGUGAAAUGCGCAGAUAUCGGGAGGAACACCUGUGGCGAAAGCGGCGCACUGGACCAUAACUGACGCUGAGGCGCGAAAGCGUGGGGAGCGAACAGG